rnacentral:rRNA from 1 species
GCUCAAGUUUUUAAGGGCACACGGUGGAUGCCUUGGCACCAGGAACCGAAGAAGGACGUAGGAAUCUGCGAUAAGCCUCGGGGAGUCGAUAACCAGACUGUGAUCCGAGGAUUUCCGAAUGGGGAAACCCGGCUGGAGGCAAGUCCAGUCACUCCCGCCUGAACACAUAGGGCGGGUAGAGGGAACGUGGGGAAGUGAAACAUCUCAGUACCCACAGGAAGAGAAAGCAACCGCGAUUCCGUGAGUAGUGGCGAGCGAAAGCGGAAGAGGCUAAACCUCAGUUGUGUGAUACCUGUCAGGGGUUGCAGCUGGGGGGUCGUGGGACUUUUCGGUCAGUGCUGACACGCUGGCAUGGAGUCAGAAAUGCGCGUUGUAGUCGAAGGGCAUUGAAAGGCCCGGCACAGAGGGUGCUACCCCCGUAGACGAAACAAUGCGCACUCCAGAGAAGUAUCCCAAGUAGCACGGGGCCCGAGAAAUCCCGUGUGAAUCUGGCGGGNCCCCGGGAGGGGAGUGAAAUAGAUCCUGAAACCGUGUGCCUACAAUCCGUCGGAGCCUCCUUGUGGGGUGACGGCGUGCCUUUUGAAGAAUGAGCCUGCGAGUUAGUGCUCAGUGGCGAGGUUAACCCGUGUGGGGAAGCCGUAGCGAAAGCGAGUCCGAAUAGGGCGUUUUAGUCGCUGGGUCUAGACCCGAAGCGGAGUGAUCUACCCAUGGCCAGGUUGAAGCGACGGUAAGACGUCGUGGAGGACCGAACCCACUUAGGUUGAAAACUGAGGGGAUGAGCUGUGGGUAGGGGUGAAAGGCCAAUCAAACUCCGUGAUAGCUGGUUCUCCCCGAAAUGCAUUUAGGUGCAGCGUCACGUGUUUCUUACCGGAGGUAGAGCUACUGGAUAGCUGAUGGGCCUCACCAGGUUACUGACGUUAGCCAAACUCCGAAUGCCGGUAAGUGAGAGCGUGGCAGUGAGACUGCGGGGGAUAAGCUCCGUAGUCGAGAGGGAAACAGCCCAGACCACCAUCUAAGGUCCCUAAGCGUGUGCUAAGUGGGAAAGGAUGUGGAGUUGCAUUGACAACCAGGAGGUUGGCUUAGAAGCAGCCACCCUUUAAAGAGUGCGUAAUAGCUCACUGGUCAAGUGAUUCCGCGCCGACAAUGUAGCGGGGCUCAAGCACACCACCGAAGCUGUGGCAUUGACACUUUGCCCGGCCGUGGCAUCUGAGGAUCCACGGUCCAAGCGUGUUGAUGGGUAGGGGAGCGUCGUGUGGCCAGGGAAGCGGCGGAGUGAUCCAGCCGUGGAGGCCACACGAGUGAGAAUGCAGGCAUGAGUAGCGAAUGACGGGCGAGAAACCCGUCCGCCGAAUAACCAAGGGUUCCAGGGUCAAGCUAAUCUGCCCUGGGUAAGUCGGGACCUAAGGCGAGGCCGACAGGCGUAGUCGAUGGACAUCCGGUUGAUAUUCCGGAACCGGCGAANNGAACCGCCNNNNNNNNNNNNCAUGACGAACCUAGUGAUGCUAAACGCCCAAAGCCAGUUCCCAACGCCUUCGGGCUGAGGUUGCUGGUGGAGCGCGUGACCCGAUCUAGUAGUAGUCAAGCGAUGGAGAGACGCAGGAAGGUAGCCUCCGCGUGGCGAUGGUAGUCCACGUCCAAGGGUGUAGGGAGUGACCUAGGCAAAUCCGGGUCGCACAUAUCCUGAGACCUGAUAGUGACCGCGUAUGCGGGAAGCAGGGUGAUCCUAUGCUGCCAAGAAAAUCUUCUAGCGAGGUUCGAGCCGCCCGUACCCCAAACCGACUCNCCCGUAACUUCGGGAGAAGGGGGGCCCAGACCCUGAAGUCACUUGCUGACUAGGGGAAAGGGCCGCAGAGACCAGGGAGAAGCGACUGUUUACUAAAAACACAGGUCCGUGCGAAGUCGCAAGACGAUGUAUACGGACUGACGCCUGCCCGGUGCUGGAAGGUUAAGAGGACCGGUUAGUUCUUCGGAGCGAAGCUGAGAAUUUAAGCCCCAGUAAACGGCGGUGGUAACUAUAACCAUCCUAAGGUAGCGAAAUUCCUUGUCGGGUAAGUUCCGACCUGCACGAAUGGCGUAACGACUUCUCCACUGUCUCAACCACGAACUCGGCGAAAUUGCACUACGAGUAAAGAUGCUCGUUACGCGCAGCAGNGGGAGACUGUGAAGCCGGCACGCCAGUGUCGGUNNNGGAGUCAACGUUGAAAUACCACUCUGGUCGUUCUGGAUAUCUAACCUCGGUCCGUGAUCCGGAUCAGGGACAGUGCCUGGUGGGUAGUUUAACUGGGGCGGUUGCCUCCUAAAAGGUAACGGAGGCGCCCAAAGGUUCCCUCAGCCUGGUUGGCAAUCAGGUUUUGAGUGUAAGUGCACAAGGGAGCUUGACUGUGAGACAGGCAUGUCGAGCAGGGACGAAAGUCGGGACUAGUGAUCCGGCGGUGGCUUGUGGAAGCGCCGUCGCUCAACGGAUAAAAGGUACCCCGGGGAUAACAGGCUGAUCUUGCCCAAGAGUCCAUAUCGACGGCAUGGUUUGGCACCUCGAUGUCGGCUCGUCGCAUCCUGGGGCUGGAGUAGGUCCCAAGGGUUGGGCUGUUCGCCCAUUAAAGCGGUACGCGAGCUGGGUUUAGAACGUCGUGAGACAGUUCGGUCCCUAUCCGCUGUGCGCGUAGGAAACUUGAGAAGAGCUGUCCCUAGUACGAGAGGACCGGGAUGGACGAACCUCUGGUGUGUCAGUUGUUCUGCCAAGAGCACGGCUGAUUAGCUACGUUCGGAAGUGAUAACCGCUGAAAGCAUCUAAGCGGGAAGCACGCUUCAAGAUGAGGUUUCCAUAGGCUUCGGCCUGAGAGGCUCCCAGCUAGACUACUGGGUUGAUAGGCCAGACGUGGAAGCACAGCAAUGUGUGUAGCUGACUGGUACUAAUAAGCCGAUAACUUGAUACA